UGGGGAAUAUUGGACAAUGGGCGCAAGCCUGAUCCAGCAAUGCCGCGUGUGUGAAGAAGGCCUUCGGGUUGUAAAGCACUUUUAUCAGGAGCGAAACGCUGUCGGCUAAUACCCGGCGGAACUGACGGUACCUGAGGAAUAAGCACCGGCUAACUUCGUGCCAGCAGCCGCGGUAAUACGAAGGGUGCAAGCGUUAAUCGGAAUUACUGGGCGUAAAGCGUGCGUAGGCGGUUUCUUAAGUCUGCUGUGAAAUCCCCGGGCUCAACCUGGGAAUGGCAGUGGAUACUGGGAGGCUAGAGUGUGUCAGAGGGUGGUGGAAUUCCCGGUGUAGCGGUGAAAUGCGUAGAGAUCGGGAGGAACAUCAGUGGCGAAGGCGGCCACCUGGGACAACACUGACGCUGAGGCACGAAAGCGUGGGGAGCAAACAGGAUUAGAUACCCUGGUAGUCCACGCCCUAAACGAUGCGAACUGGAUGUUGGUCUCAACUCGGAGAUCAGUGUCGAAGCUAACGCGUUAAGUUCGCCGCCUGGGGAGUACGGUCGCAAGACUGAAACUCAAAUGAAUUGACGGGGUCAUAGCUG
rnacentral:rRNA from 1 species